UACUAGUUAGCUCCGGGCCAAUUUGAAGGAAGUUGGCAAUGACAUGUAGCUAUAGUGGGAAGAACAGUGGAAAUGUGGGAUGUAAAUGGACAUAUUAUAUGGUAAGGGAAAAAGACAAAUAAGAACAGCUGCCUAUGGUAGGGUAAGGGUACGUAUUAACAAAGCAUAGCUUAACUUGGGGUUUUCAAUUUCAUAUCAAUGCUUCUUCAUGCAUA
rnacentral:lncRNA from 1 species